UACGGGGGGAGCAAGCGUUGUUCGGAUUUACUGGGCGUAAAGGGCGCGUAGGCGGCCACCGCAAGUCGACUGUGAAAUCUCCGGGCUUAACCCGGAAAGGUCAGCCGAUACUGCGGGGCUAGAGUGCAGAAGGGGCAACUGGAAUUCUCGGUGUAGCGGUGAAAUGCGCAGAUAUCAGGAGGAACACCGGUGGCGAAGGCGGUUCUCUGGGCAUGUCCUGACGCUGAGGAGCGAAAGUGUGGGGAGCGAACAGG
rnacentral:rRNA from 1 species